rnacentral:lncRNA from 1 species
UCAUUUGUUCCACUUGGGAGAGUCUUCUGCUUUAAGGGUCACAUCUUAAUUAAGUUGUGUGUGUUUUCAAAUACAAAUGUUUAUACUAAUAUUUAUAUAUAAUUAGUUAAACUAAUAUGUGGAGAAUUCAAUUUUUUUUUUUAACAAACUUCGAAUAAAUAGCCAAGACAAAGUGGAAUUGAUUCUCACUAUUUUAGAAGUAAAGUUAACUAUUUUUUUAGUUAAAGAAAUCUUAUAGUUUACCUUCUUGUAAAUGCCCUUUUUAAUAAUGAUUAAUCUCCC